rnacentral:lncRNA from 1 species
UACAGUAUACAUACAUGUACAGAGUAUUGUCAACUUGAUUAUCUAAUAUAUUUUAAUGCGUUAUAGAUGUUCGACAGUUUGAACGAGAACCUUACAAAACAAUUCUUUCUAUAUACGAACGUCCAUUGUUCUCGCUAUAUCUCGCUGCAUAGUCUAUUUGCCGCUACUUAUCUUACAUAACAUAUCCACCAUACACUGCGUCGUAGUGUCAAGCCACUCCCUCUAAAACGACACCAAAAGCAGUCGAUCAGUUCAAGUGUUCAGUUAUACGCACGAUGUUAAACGAUUCGUCGACUUAUCUUACGGUUACCCCAGCUCGUCCUCCACACGCUAAUUUACACGUAGCCCAUAAGAAUAAUCUGCAGUCAACGAGCAGAAUGGACAUAAUCAACAAUUUAACCGAGCGACGAGCAGGGACACAGCAAUGCCGAGUAGGAGCGCUGAGAGCGUGGCCGCCGCCAGCUCGGUACUCGCAACUCCUGGCCGCUUCUGUUCGCCGUGGAUCGGAAAGACACAAUUUUGAGGAAGAGCGCGCGGGCCUCUAAGCAUCGUCACGGCGCAACUAUAUCCCAUUGGUCCACGGCGAUCUCUUUCCACCGCUUAUUGGUUCAUUGACUCCGGCAUGGACGGAAAUUUGGGCAGGGCUACGGGCCCCGGCAAGCCGCCGCGCCAGCAUGGCGCGAAUCCCGCUGGGCCGCGCCCGCCCGCGCCAGAGAAUCGCGCGCGGCGACGCGCGGCUGCGACCGACGCGCGGCCGUCUUUCGUCUACGUCUCGCGAGAGUCGGCGGAUCGUCGUCCACGGGGACAGUGACACCGUUUUUCCCCAAAAUCGGCAUUAAUAACGUACGAUUCCCCGCCACCGUCGCCACCGCCGUUGCCACUGUUGUCGACUAGGACGACGUACGCGCGAAUACCGACUUUAACUCCGGGUUUCUACGGUGUUGCUCAGACACCUCGUGUCUACGUCGACACUGGGAUACUCGAUACGCAAGUCGCGUACCUUCGCCACCAUGGGAAUAGCUCCCAAACGGAUCGAACGUUAUUACGUUUUCCCCUAAAAUUAAACCUGCUACGCGAAGGAGUGGGGACUAUUACCUGCAACGAGGCAGUGUGUAUGUACAUAUACAGGGUGACUCACGCGACACAUUGGAGUAAGGCGAUGAUGUUUUGCUGACAUUUACGAGUGGCGACGACGCGACACAUUGAUACGAGAUCAGCUGUGCCACUUUAUUUCACGCAUUCUUCCAAUGUCCUUCAACUCUCCGGAAGAAUCAAUCGUCUACGCAACUCCACGAUACACCCAGUACAUAAUCUCGUGCGUGCAGUCGUGCACACGUACAUACAUAUGUAUGUAUAUGUAUGUAUAUGUACAUACGUAGGCCGGCGUCGUUGACAUCAGCGCUUCUAUCGGUGGCGUCGCGAGAUUGCGGGCGGCCGCAUGCGUUCCUGUUGAAAAAAUUCCUCACGGGCGAAAGUCAAGGUAUGAUGGAACAUCGUCGGCGAGCCGGCCGUGCUUGAUUGAGAGAAUGGAGAGAGCUCGAGAUCGCCUCCUUGCGCGAUGUGUUUCCCUGGUAGCAGGAGGGGCUCGGCGAGACAACCCGCGCGAAACUCUGUUCAACGUAGGGAGAACAGCUGCGUCGUACGAGCUCCUAUCACUGCGUGCCGUCCGGAUAACGCGGUGCUCGCAUGCGGGAUGUGAGCACGCACCACGUGCUCGUCACCGGGCUGGCCCGGCCCGGCCGCGCUGGGGUGACGACGAUCAACGAUCGGCCGCGCACCAAUUCCUCGCCUCGCCUCGCCUCGCCUCGGCGCGCUGCAUGUGGCGAUUGGCGAUGUGGCUGAUGUGCGCGUUCAAUUUCUCACGGCGGCACGCACAGUCGCACACAUGCGAAGAAGCGAGGAGGGGACAUGCAGUAGCGCACGUCCAUGCAUCGAUCGUCCAUGUAUAGCCCGUACAUUCGGAUACUCGGGACGCUCGGGUCGAGCUGGCAGGUGUUAGCGUCAAACGGAUCCGACCGUGACUGGUGACACGCAGGUAGAUACACGUAGCAGUCGUGGCCGAGUGGUUAAGGC